GUAGCAUCCGGUGCAUCACGUACGGGUUUGUUGUCACCUUUUUUUAUGUGUAACGCCCUGACUCGUGUCACCGUAUGAUUUUAUUAUUAUUAAUAUUCAUUAUUUACUUUAAUUAAUAAUAUUAUUCAUAUAUAUAUAUAUAUAUACAUAUAUACAUAUAUAGAUAUAUAUAUAUAUUUAAUUUUAAUCACUGCCGUGUGUGUAGUGAAGUGCAGUUCAAAAUAAUAAUAAUUAUUAUUAUUUAUUUGUAAAUAAAUAAAUCGAUUUAUUGAUUAAUAAGUUAAUUACGUAAUUAAUUAAUUACUGACUGGAUUAAAUGUGAGUGUAUGGUGAUUUUAUGUGAAGUGGGUGAUGACUUAUUAUUAUAAAAUAAUUACAGAGCUGGAAAUGUUACGCGAUUACUAAGACAUGAGACAAGAUUUGAGGGUGAGGCCGCCAGGAUCACCAGCAGCAGUAGCAACUGGAGCUAUUGGUUGCCAGCGGUAGCAGUAAGCCGAUUAAAUCCUCAACUCGAGCAGUCGGCGGCAGAGCAGUCAAUAGAAUAACCAGCAGUAACUGUCUAAUUGCCAGCAAUAAACCAACAAUUCACUUAAAUCACAAUGAAUCUGAUAAAUAUGGACGCGGAGAACCGGGUGGUCCUCAAUAUUGGAGGCAUCAGACACGAAACCUACAAGGCGACCCUUAAAAAAAUACCCGCUACGAGGUUGUCCAGGCUAACGGAAGCACUAGCCAAUUACGACCCCAUCCUCAACGAGUACUUCUUCGAUCGACACCCAGGUGUCUUUGCCCAGGUCUUGAACUACUACCGGACUGGGAAGUUGCACUAUCCUACGGAUGUGUGCGGCCCCCUGUUUGAAGAGGAGCUUGAGUUUUGGGGACUUGACUCAAAUCAAGUGGAACCCUGCUGCUGGAUGACGUACACGCAGCAUCGAGACACACAAGAAACCUUAACGGUCCUUGACAGACUGGAUCUGGACACAGAGAAGCCCAGUGAUGAAGAAUUGGCCCGUAAAUUUGGAUUCGAAGAGGCCUAUUACGAGAAUCGUCUUACGUGGUGGCAAAAGCUCAAGCCUAAAAUGUGGUCAUUAUUCGACGAACCUUAUUCCUCAAAUGCAGCCAAGAUAAUUGGCGUGAUAUCCGUCUUCUUUAUUUGCGUAUCAAUUUUAUCAUUUUGCCUUAAGACUCAUCCAGACAUGCGGGUUCCCGUGAUAACGAACAACGUCGUAAGAAAAGGUAACCGUACGACGACACACAUCGACAAGGAGCACACAAAUGCCCACGUUGCAUUUUUCUACGUAGAAGCACUUUGCAACGGAUGGUUCACUAUCGAAUUCUUGACCCGGAUAACAGCGAGCCCGAAUCGCUGCGAGUUCAUCAAGUCCUCAGUGAACCUGAUAGACAUGAUAGCCACACUGAGUUUUUAUAUUGACUUGGCGCUGCAGAAGUUCGCGUCGCAUCUCGAGAACGCAGAUAUCCUGGAGUUCUUCAGCAUAAUCCGUAUAAUGAGACUGUUUAAGUUAACGCGACAUUCGUCGGGACUUAAGAUACUGAUACAGACGUUCAGAGCGUCUGCUAAGGAGCUGACCCUGUUGGUAUUCUUCCUAGUCCUCGGCAUCGUCAUCUUCGCCAGCUUGGUCUAUUACGCCGAGAGGAUACAAACAAAUCCACACAAUGACUUCAAGAGCAUACCUUUGGGUCUCUGGUGGGCCCUAGUCACUAUGACCACUGUAGGUUAUGGUGAUAUGGUACCCAAAACAUAUGUGGGAAUGUUUGUUGGUGCACUGUGUGCACUGGCUGGUGUCCUAACCAUCGCCCUGCCGGUGCCCGUGAUCGUUAGCAACUUUGCUAUGUAUUACAGUCACACGCAGGCGCGAGCCAAGCUGCCCAAGAAGAGGCGUCGAGUAUUUCCGGUGGAACAACCUAGGGUGCGUCCUGGAGUUCCGGGGGCCGCAGGGCAGGCUACUAGUCAUGGUGGUACUGCCUGUACUCCACAGACUGCCCUACUGCCUCCGGGAAGCGGGGGGAUCGGGAGUGGGGGCGGAAGUGGAACCAUGAUUACUCCGCAGAACAGGAGGAUGAAUGCCAUCAAGACGAAUCAUCCGAAGGAUCCAUUUGCUAUCAAAGACGACGACAGAAGAAACUCAAAUUUACGAACUAACGGGACCAAAUCGUCAAGUGGCCUGGGCUAGUAUUGAAAUAAAACCUCACCUCCACUGCCACUGCGUUCGUCAUUAGAGAUUUUCGAUAAAAUAAUGCCAGUUAACGAGACACUUGUUUAACGAACAAAUGAGAAACGACAGAACACAAGAGCUGAGGCAUAGGUUGAAGAGUAUAAAAAAUAUAUGAAAAAACUCGAGACAAAACGAGAAGAAAAUGUGAAUAAGAGAAAAAAAAAAUUUUUUAUAAGGGUGAAAAAAGGGGAAUUGUCGUUUUACUAGGGAACAAUGAGGGAAACGUGACUCUCGAGCGGUUUUUUUUUCGCCAGUAUUAUAUAUCGGACUAACUCGUUAAAUAUAUGAUGCUAACAAUAUGAAAAUUAGUAUUAAUGUUAACAUUAAUUGUUAUUUUUAAUUUUUAAUUAAUUUAUUGUAUGAAUAGAGGAUAUGGGUAUAAAAUAUAUUCAAAAACUUUUGUUUGUUCUGCCCAGGGAGUCAGCAGAAAGAUAUGAAAGUUUUUCAUGUUAAUGUAUGUAAUAAAAUAUAUAUUAUAUAUGAGCUGAGGGGAAUAUUGAUUAGAUCUAAUCAUAAAUUACUUUUAUUAUGAUUAAAAAUAUUUUACUUUCACUUAUUGAAAUUAAAUUUUUAAUUUCAUGAUUUUUAUUUUUUUAGAUCUAAUUAAUUGGAUCUGAUAGUAUUGGAUCUGAAAUUUUGGGGACUGUAAAUAUUUCGAGAUUAAUUACUUUUAUUAUAAAGAAAAAUUUUAUUUUAGUUUCACUCGUGGGAAUUAAAUUUUUAGAUCUGAUGAUUUUUUUUUAGAUCUGAUUAAAGUGGAGGGUUAGAUCUAAUUGCAUAUAAAAAGUAAAAAAAUUCGAGUAGAUUUAUUGAAAUUGUGAAAUAAAAAAAAAAUUUACUCUGAUUAAUUGGAUCUGAUAGUAUUGGAUCUGAAAUUUUAAGGACUGUAAAUAUUUCGAGAUAAAUUACAUUUAUUAUAAAGAAAAAUUUUAUUUUAGUUUCACUUAUGGAAAUUAAACUUUUAGAUCUGAUGAUUCUAAUUUUCUUCAAGAUCUGAUUAAAAUGGAAGGUUAGAUCUAAUUGGAUAUAAAAAAUUUAAUAAAUCGAGUAAAUUUAUUGAAAUUGUGAAAUGAGAAAGAAAAAUUUGACUCAAAUUAAUUGGAUCUGAUAGUAUUGGAUCUGAAAUUGUAAGGAUUGUAUAUAUUUCACGAUGAAUUAUUUUUCUUAUGAUUAAAAAUGCCAUUUUAGUUCCAAUUAUAGAUUAAAUUGUUGGAUCUGAUGAUUUAAAAUUUUCUAGAUCUAAUAACAGUACUGAGUUGGGUCGAAUUGGAUGUGAAAAAAAUCGAGUAGAUCCAUUAAAAGGGUAAAGUUUGGAAAAAGAAAAUUUUUACUCUCAUUAAUUGAAUCUGAUAAUAUUGGAUCUGAAACUAUGAAGAUUGUACAUAUUCGUGUCCGAUUAGAUCUAAAAAUAUUAAUUACAUUUAAGCUUCAUAUUUUAUAUUAAUUAGAUCUAAAUGUGUCAGUGGUCUAAAUUAGAAAUUAAUAAGUGUUAACUAUUAAAUCUUUUAUGAAAAAUUAGAAUUAAAAUAUUUCAGAUCUAAUUAUACAGAUCCAAUAAAAAACUAAUGGAUCUAAAUAGUUAAACUUUUCAUGUCUAAUAACUCAGAUCUGAAGUGUGAAAUAAUUUUCUUACAAUUAAAAAUCAGUCGUUAAUUUAUCAGAUCUAAUUUAUUGGAUCUAACUCAAACUAUUGGAUCUGAACUAUCAAAUUUAGAAAAAUGAAAAUUAUUAAAAACUUUUUGUUAAUAAAAUGUAACCAUUUAAUAAAAAAAAUCAGAUCCAAUUAAUUGGAAAAAUUUCUAAUAAUCAGAUCUAGAAAUUUUUUUUUUUUUUCAUGUCAUUCACAAAAAAUACGUAAUAUUUAACUCGGUUCUGUUCAUUAAAAAGUAAUCAGAUCUAACUAAUUUAUUCUGGCGCAUCACAAAAACGUAAUUAAAUUAAAUCGUUAAUUAUAUUUAAUGAAUGCAUGAAAUGAUUGUCAAAUAAUAAUGGAAAUGAAUGCAUAUCCAGACACGGGCACACACAAUGCACGUAAGCACUGAUAUUAAAUAAUUAAAAAAUAUAAAAGUAUAUGUUUAUAAACAAACAGAUUAAAAAAUCGAGUACUGUGUAAAUUCUAUGCGCGAAAAAAGGAAGCAAUGAAGAAAUUAAUGACGAGAGGGAUUUAAAAAAAAAUCAUGUGUGUCACGAACAUACUUUGUGAUUCAUGUACGAGAAUAUGUUUUCAGAAAUGGAAAAAAAAAUAUAUAUAAAAAAAAAAAAACUUUAAAACUCACGCACACGGUUUAGGUCACGCGAAAGAUUUACUCGUAUGGAUUAAAAAUAAUAAUAAAUUUAAAACUAAAUAUUUUUUUUUUUUUUUUUAUUAUAAAUAUGACACGCAAGUUAA